CCUACGGGAGGCAGCAGUGAGGAAUAUUCCACAAUGGGGAAACCCUGAUGGAGCGAUGCCGCGUGCAGGAAGACGCUUUCGGAGUGUAAACUGCUUAACAAGGAAGAUUAUGACAGUACUGAGAUAGAUCGUCG
rnacentral:rRNA from 1 species